rnacentral:rRNA from 1 species
GGUUAAGCGACUAAGCGUACACGGUGGAUGCCCUGGCAGUCAGAGGCGAUGAAGGACGUGCUAAUCUGCGAAAAGCGCCGGCGAGGUGAUAUGAACCUUUGACCCGGCGAUGUCCGAAUGGGGAAACCCAGUGUGAUUCGUCACACUAUCGUUAACUGAAUACAUAGGUUAACGAGGCGAACCGGGGGAACUGAAACAUCUAAGUACCCCGAGGAAAAGAAAUCAACCGAGAUUCCCCCAGUAGCGGCGAGCGAACGGGGAGCAGCCCAGAGUCUGAAUCAGCUUGUGUGUUAGUGGAAGCGUCUGGAAAGUCGCACGGUACAGGGUGACAGUCCCGUACACGAAAGCACACAGGUUGUGAACUCGAAGAGUAGGGCGGGACACGUGGUAUCCUGUCUGAAUAUGGGGGGACCAUCCUCCAAGGCUAAAUACUCCUGACUGACCGAUAGUGAACCAGUACCGUGAGGGAAAGGCGAAAAGAACCCCGGCGAGGGGAGUGAAAAAGAACCUGAAACCGUGUACGUACAAGCAGUGGGAGCACCUUCGUGGUGUGACUGCGUACCUUUUGUAUAAUGGGUCAGCGACUUAUAUUCUGUAGCAAGGUUAACCGUAUAGGGGAGCCGAAGGGAAACCGAGUCUUAACUGGGCGUUAAGUUGCAGGGUAUAGACCCGAAACCCGGUGAUCUAGCCAUGGGCAGGUUGAAGGUUGGGUAACACUAACUGGAGGACCGAACCGACUAAUGUUGAAAAAUUAGCGGAUGACUUGUGGCUGGGGGUGAAAGGCCAAUCAAACCGGGAGAUAGCUGGUUCUCCCCGAAAGCUAUUUAGGUAGCGCCUCGUGAACUCAUCUUCGGGGGUAGAGCACUGUUUCGGCUAGGGGGCCAUCCCGGCUUACCAACCCGAUGCAAACUACGAAUACCGAAGAAUGUUAUCACGGGAGACACACGGCGGGUGCUAACGUCCGUCGUGAAGAGGGAAACAACCCAGACCGCCAGCUAAGGUCCCAAAGUCAUGGUUAAGUGGGAAACGAUGUGGGAAGGCACAGACAGCCAGGAUGUUGGCUUAGAAGCAGCCAUCAUUUAAAGAAAGCGUAAUAGCUCACUGGUCGAGUCGGCCUGCGCGGAAGAUGUAACGGGGCUAAACCAUGCACCGAAGCUGCGGCAGCGACGCUUAUGCGUUGUUGGGUAGGGGAGCGUUCUGUAAGCCGUUGAAGGUGUGCUGUGAGGCAUGCUGGAGGUAUCAGAAGUGCGAAUGCUGACAUAAGUAACGAUAAAGCGGGUGAAAAGCCCGCUCGCCGGAAGACCAAGGGUUCCUGUCCAACGUUAAUCGGGGCAGGGUGAGUCGACCCCUAAGGCGAGGCCGAAAGGCGUAGUCGAUGGGAAACAGGUUAAUAUUCCUGUACUUGGUGUUACUGCGAAGGGGGGACGGAGAAGGCUAUGUUAGCCGGGCGACGGUUGUCCCGGUUUAAGCAUGUAGGCGGAACGAUUAGGUAAAUCCGGUCGUUUUUUAACGCUGAGGUGUGAUGACGAGGCACUACGGUGCUGAAGUAACAAAUGCCCUGCUUCCAGGAAAAGCCUCUAAGCAUCAGGUAACAUCAAAUCGUACCCCAAACCGACACAGGUGGUCAGGUAGAGAAUACCAAGGCGCUUGAGAGAACUCGGGUGAAGGAACUAGGCAAAAUGGUGCCGUAACUUCGGGAGAAGGCACGCUGAUAUGUAGGUGAAGCCCCUGCGGGUGGAGCUGAAAUCAGUCGAAGAUACCAGCUGGCUGCAACUGUUUAUUAAAAACACAGCACUGUGCAAACACGAAAGUGGACGUAUACGGUGUGACGCCUGCCCGGUGCCGGAAGGUUAAUUGAUGGGGUUAGCGGCAACGCGAAGCUCUUGAUCGAAGCCCCGGUAAACGGCGGCCGUAACUAUAACGGUCCUAAGGUAGCGAAAUUCCUUGUCGGGUAAGUUCCGACCUGCACGAAUGGCGUAAUGAUGGCCAGGCUGUCUCCACCCGAGACUCAGUGAAAUUGAACUCGCUGUGAAGAUGCAGUGUACCCGCGGCAAGACGGAAAGACCCCGUGAACCUUUACUAUAGCUUGACACUGAACACUGGUCCUUGAUGUGUAGGAUAGGUGGGAGGCUUUGAAGUGUGGACGCCAGUCUGCGUGGAGCCGUCCUUGAAAUACCACCCUUUAAUGGCUGGUGUUCUAACGUAGACCCGUGAUCCGGGUUGCGGACAGUGUCUGGUGGGUAGUUUGACUGGGGCGGUCUCCUCCCAAAGAGUAACGGAGGAGCACGAAGGUUAGCUAAUCCUGGUCGGACAUCAGGAGGUUAGUGCAAUGGCAUAAGCUAGCUUGACUGCGAGAGUGACGGCUCGAGCAGGUGCGAAAGCAGGUCAUAGUGAUCCGGUGGUUCUGAAUGGAAGGGCCAUCGCUCAACGGAUAAAAGGUACUCCGGGGAUAACAGGCUGAUACCGCCCAAGAGUUCAUAUCGACGGCGGUGUUUGGCACCUCGAUGUCGGCUCAUCACAUCCUGGGGCUGAAGUAGGUCCCAAGGGUAUGGCUGUUCGCCAUUUAAAGUGGUACGCGAGCUGGGUUUAGAACGUCGUGAGACAGUUCGGUCCCUAUCUGCCGUGGGCGCUGGAGAAUUGAGGGGGGCUGCUCCUAGUACGAGAGGACCGGAGUGGACGCAUCACUGGUGUUCGGGUUGUCAUGCCAAUGGCACUGCCCGGUAGCUAAAUGCGGAAAAGAUAAGUGCUGAAAGCAUCUAAGCACGAAACUUGCCCCGAGAUGAGUUCUCCCUGAGACUUUAAGUCUCCUGAAGGAACGUUGAAGACGACGACGUUGAUAGGUCGGGUGUGUAAGCGCAGCGAUGCGUUGAGCUAACCGAUACUAAUGAACCGUGAGGCUUAACCUU